rnacentral:lncRNA from 1 species
GUCAGUUUGAUGGAGCUAGUUUCUUAACUGACAUUUCCUCUUCCCACAAGUGUCAAAUUGAUAACAAAGUUUAGCUACCAACCACAUAUAUGUUCUAGCAAUGCUACUCCUAUUUAUUGUAUAGGAUAUUUGUGUUAGCUUUAUUUACAGCAACCACUGGUCAGAAACAAGCUAGGAGUCAUUAGUAGAAGAAUGGAUAAUCCAACAAUGAUGCACUCAUGUGAUGAACUAGUCUUCAGUCAUCAAAAGGAAUCAUCCAGUGAUUCAACACAAUCCUGGACUGCCUAUCGAGGGAUGUUGCUGCUCAAGAGGGCUGGGCACUCUCAUCUUAACCGUCAAUCAAGACAUGGUCAUAGGCCGACCUGAGGGAGGUGAUUAUUCAGUUGAGGCUCCUCUAAGAGUGUCUCAGGCAGCAGAGAGACUGGGACCACAUCUUAACACAUCUGUUUCCCAGCCCCUGCCCAAGCUCAGUCAACAUCUGUAUUGCCUGUUCAUUGUAAUCAACCCAUUUGUUCAGUUAAAACAAACAAAUGUUUGCUCUUGAGGGAAGAAAUACCUGAAGUCUAAAUUUGUUAAUUAUGGUUCUUAUGAAUGUUAGCCAAUUAUUCUGUUUUUCUCUCAAAUAU